rnacentral:rRNA from 1 species
UUCGCAAUGCCCGAAAGGGUGACGAAGCGACGCCGCGUGGGUGAAGAAGGCCUUCGGGUUGUAAAGCCCUGUCAGGAGUUAUGAAAUGUAGGUGCGAUAAUACCGUGCCUAUUUGACAAAGGCUCCAAAGGAAGCCACGGCUAACUCUGUGCCAGCAGCCGCGGUAAUACAGAGGUGGCAAGCGUUGUUCGGAAUUAUUGGGCGUAAAGAGCACGUAGGUGGAUUUGUAAGUCAGGUGUGAAAGCCUUCUGUUCAACGGAAGAAUUGCAUCUGAAACUGCAAACCUUGAGUGUAGGAGGGGAGAAUGGAACUUCUGGUGGAGCGGUGAAAUGCGUAGAUAUCAGAAGGAACGCCGGCGGCGAAAGCGAUUCUCUGGCCUAUUACUGACACUGAGUGUGCGAAAGCUAGGGGAGCAAACGGGGUUAGAUACCCCGGUAGUCCUAGCCGUAAACGAUGGGCACUAAGUAGAGGGGUUUU